AGAAGACGCCGUCGCAGCCGAUCUAGAAGCAGGAGCCGCUCUAGAUCCCGCAGUCGGUCCCGUUACAGUCGAUCCAAAUCCCGGUCUCGCACACGCUCUCGGUCUCGGUCCACCUCAAAGUCCAGGUCUGCCAGGAGAUCCAAGUCAAAGUCCUCGUCUGUCUCCAGAUCCCGGUCCAGGUCAAGAUCCCGGUCCAGGUCUAGAAGCCCUCCCCCUGCCUCAAAGAGGGAAUCCAACUCUAGAUCCAGGUCUAAGAGUCCUCCCAAGUCUCCGGAAGAAGAAGGAGCUGUAUCCUCCUAGGAACAUGGUAAUGUACCUCGGAAUGAGCACGUUGCAUGUUACUUUAUUAUAGCACUUAGGUGGGGUGUUGGGUAGUUCUUAGAAUAUUAAUGGCCUGAACCAAGCGAAUCCUAACGGGGCACAUUGUUAGCUGUUUUUUUUUCUUGAGCAGGGCUUUUUGGUUAUUGGUUUAGGUAAAUUAAUACUGAAGGGCUUUCUACAGAGUAUUUUUCUUUUCUUACAGAGCAAAUGUUUUAUUGAGAGAUUAAUGGCUUGGUUUUAAUAAAAUAUUGUAUGAGACACAACCUAUGAUGAAAAUGACUAUUUCUUACUGUAUUUAUCCAACAUCUGCAUUUUCCCCUUUAAAGCUGCGGUCUCCUGUUUGCUAAAAGAAUAUUGGCCAGUAUUGCAGAUUUUAACUGAUUUGGCUGAUCCUCCAGGGACCAGUUUCUGUGGGCGUGUAUUGGAGCAGGUUUGUCUUUAAAUGUUAAAGAUACACUAUCCUUUUAUAAUGGAAGAUCGAUUCAGUGGCCGUUAUACUGACUGGAGGUAAUAACUGUUCUAGAAGUGGCAAAUUCCUUGCAACGAGAAAACCGUGGAAACUAGUUUUUCCUCAAGUCAACAUCUUGAAGAGGCGUCUAAGGAUACACCGGGUGGGGAAAGGAUAGUGUGUCUUUAACCCUUCAAACUGUUUGGUCCUAUUUUUAAAAGGAAAAGGCCUAAGCUAGCUCUGAAGUUAGAUAAUUGUAGCAAAACUAGUCACACUUUGUUUUGAAUGCUAAUUAGAGUUUAGUUAAGUAUUUAUGAAGAAGUACUAGUUUUAUAACUUUUAUAUAACUCUAAAUAACUUAUUGUUGAACAGGCUGAAUUGAAGUUAAUGGUGGCUUGAUCUACAGCCUGAUGCUUAACUCUUCUUUGUAACUAAAUACUUUGACAGAACCUUACAUUUGGCCUCUGAAGUGAAGCAACAUAUGGGGGGGAGGUGGAACACUAGGGCAAUUCCUAAAAAUUAAAUUUAAUUAGGGAAAGCCAGUUGAAACACAACUAGAAGUAUACCUGAAGUCAUCCACACAGCCAAAAGCGACAAGGUAGAAACCUGGCUGAACUUUUCUUUCUUCAAACCUAGAUGCAUCAGAUAAAUGAGAAUCCACAUAAAGGACGCCUUUGGGGGGAAAAGAUCGCUUGAGUCUUCAGCCCAUUUGGAGAGACCCCUGGCACGAGCAACCAGCUGUUGAAAAGGCGCAGUUGUGUAGCAGUUCAGUAAUGCUGGUUAGCUGUUAAGGUGGCGUGUUGCAGUGCAGAGUGCUUGGCUGUUUCCUGUUUUCUCCUGAUUGCUCCUGUGUAACGAUGCCUUGUCGUGCAGAAACAAAUGGCUGUCCAGUUAAUUAAAAUGCCUGACAACUGCACUUCCAGUCACCCGGGCCUUGCGUAAAAAUAAUGGAGCAUACAGUGAGCACAUCUAGCUGAUGGUAUACACACCUUAUUUUUUCCAGAAUGGUAAAACUUACCGACCUACAUACAUGAACUUACAUAUGAGAAAUGUAAUGUUAAGAAAAGAAAUGGUUCAUUCCUUUGUAAGUACUGAUUGGUGUAUCUUUUGCUUAAGACAUUCUGUACUAUACCCACUGUCUCUGUAGUUAAUAUUAAACAUUUUUCUGUGUUAACUUUUCUCAACUUAAUGUCUGAGUCAGCUUAUUUUUAGCUUGAAAAGAUUUCUGCAAUUAUACUGUCAAUGUUUUAACUUCUAUAUAGUAACUGAAUGCAUUCUACUGCUGAUAAAUUUUAUCCACUGGGGUUGCUUUGAAAUUACUACGGGCAAACUUGACUAUUAUUGUGACUAACCCAAAUGUUGUAUGGCAAGUAUUGCACACCAGAAAAUAAACCCAGAAUCAGAGAGGCCUGUUGGACGUUGUUACAGAAGAUACACACUGAGCAGUACUAAUUGCAUUUGCUGUGUGCUUGCCCUGACUCAACAGGCUGCUGCUUGGUGGGAGCUAAUCUUAGUGAUGAUGAUUUUUUCUUAAUUUUGAUACCAAAUGAACUGUAACUUCAACCAUCAUAUGUCAAGGGUUACUGUAAUGCCUUGUUAACUUUAUGCAUGUAUGUUAAACGGGAAUGGAAACAUCUGAAUACUUGCAAUAUGGCUUGAUUGAGGAUUAAAAGUACUUUUCUACAAA